rnacentral:rRNA from 1 species
AUGAACGCUGGCGGCGUGCCUAAUACAUGCAAGUCGAGCGAACAGACGAGGAGCUUGCUCCUUUGACGUUAGCGACGGACGGGUGAGUAACACGUAGGUAACCUACCUAUAAGACUGGGAUAACUUCGGGAAACCGGAGCUAAUACCGGAUAAUAUUUCGAACCGCAUGGUUCGAUAGUGAAAGAUGGCUUUGCUAUCACUUAUAGAUGGACCUGCGCCGUAUUAGCUAGUUGGUAAGGUAACGGCUUACCAAGGCAACGAUACGUAGCCGACCUGAGAGGGUGAUCGGCCACACUGGAACUGAGACACGGUCCAGACUCCUACGGGAGGCAGCAGUAGGGAAUCUUCCGCAAUGGGCGAAAGCCUGACGGAGCAACGCCGCGUGAGUGAUGAAGGUCUUCGGAUCGUAAAACUCUGUUAUUAGGGAAGAACAAACGUGUAAGUAACUGUGCACGUCUUGACGGUACCUAAUCAGAAAGCCACGGCUAACUACGUG